UGCUUUUAUUUUCCCUUCCAACUAGCUGAGGCCCCCCUGGCACCCCCUCGCGGCCCCCACUUUGAAAACCACUGCACUAGCCUACCUACUCAAGGAGAGAGAUCAUUUCCCCUGUGUGUGUAUCCACACCAAGUUUUUCUACCAUAACGUCCUCCCAACUCUACACUAUCCUAAAUGCAUGACAGCAGGCUAUUAACAUUUUUCUGUAAACACAUUAACAAAAUCAACUUAAUGCGGAGCUAUACACACGCACGUUCGUCUGUGGUAACAGUUGCAGCAUUGGAAUACUGUUUAAUGUAGGUACAGCGCAGAGUAGACUAUAGCAAGGAAAUUGUCAAUACUAUAGGAGUGCCUACAUACAGUAAAUAGAUAGUCGAAGUAUGGUAGGUGGAGAAGUGGUAGAAGAGGUAGAAGUAUGGUAGGA